AUACGGAGGGUGCAAGCGUUGUUCGGAAUCACUGGGCGUAAAGGGCGCGCAGGCGGUUUGGUAAGUCAGAUGUGAGAGCCCACGGCUCAACCGUGGAAGUGCAUUUGAAACUGCCAGACUUGAGUACCAGAGGGGAAAGUGGAAUUCCCGGUGUAGAGGUGAAAUUCGUAGAUAUCGGGAGGAAUACCGGUGGCGAAGGCGACUUUCUGGCUGGAUACUGACGCUGAGGCGCGAAGGCGUGGGGAGCAAACAGGAUUAGAAACCCUAGUAGUCC
rnacentral:rRNA from 1 species